UAGAAACAGGUCCAGCCUCUAAGUGCACCCACACACUUUUCUGGCAUUAUGAAGCUGAGCAGCCUCUCCCUGCUCGCUGUGACCGUCCUCCUUUGCCUCCACAUGGCCCAGCCUAGAAUCUGGAAGAGUCCGGCUGAGAAGAAACUUGGAUAUUGCCCAGAGUUUACUCCUUCCUGCCCUUUUACUUUGCUUCCUUCGUACUUGAGUGAUAAAGCUUGCUGGGGGGUUAAGAAGUGCUGCUACUACGGCUGCAGAUAUCAGUGUAUGGACCCGUGGGAGACUUUGGACUGAGGUGGAAACCUCUUUUUAACCAGGCCUGUGGAGACACUAGUGCUGCAGGCUCAGACACGGAUAACUGGUCUCCAAUUCUUCCAUGCUCCUCCCAAGCCCAAGGCUUGCUUUUGGCAAGAGUUAAAUGCUUACUAAUAUAACAACAAAACAAAGAAAUAAAGCAUCAUCUAUUUGAAACUCCA